rnacentral:rRNA from 1 species
GACGAACGCUGGCGGCGUGCUUAACACAUGCAAGUCGAGCGGUAAGGCCCUUUCGGGGGUACACGAGCGGCGAACGGGUGAGUAACACGUGGGUGACCUGCCCUCAGCUCUGGGAUAAGCCUGGGAAACCGGGUCUAAUACUGGAUAUGACUCCAUGACGCAUGUUGUGGGGUGGAAAGCCUUGUGCGGCUGAGGAUGGGCCCGCGGCCUAUCAGCUUGUUGGUGGGGUGANGGCCUACCAAGGCGACGACGGGUAGCCGGCCUGAGAGGGCGACCGGCCACACUGGGACUGAGACACGGCCCAGACUCCUACGGGAGGCAGCAGUGGGGAAUAUUGGACAAUGGGCGAAAGCCUGAUCCAGCGAUGCCGCGUGUGUGAAGAAGGCCUGCGGGUU